rnacentral:tRNA from 1 species
UGUUUUAUGGCUUAGUUGGAUAAAGCGCCGGACUAGUGAUACGGAGUCGUGGGUUCAAAUCCUACCUAAACAU